rnacentral:rRNA from 1 species
GCAGCCUGAUGCAGCCAUGCCGCGUGUGUGAAGAAGGCCUUCGGGUUGUAAAGCACUUUCAGUCAGGAGGAAAGGUUAGUAGUUAAUAGCUGCUAGCUGUGACGUUACUGACAGAAGAAGCACCGGCUAACUCCGUGCCAGCAGCCGCGGUAAUACGGAGGGUGCGAGCGUUAAUCGGAAUUACUGGGCGUAAAGCGUACGCAGGCGGUUUGUUAAGCGAGAUGUGAAAGCCCCGGGCUCAACCUGGGAACUGCAUUUCGAACUGGCAGACUAGAGUGUGAUAGAGGGUGGUAGAAUUUCAGGUGUAGCGGUGAAAUGCGUAGAGAUCUGAAGGAAUACCGAUGGCGAAGGCAGCCACCUGGGUCAACACUGACGCUCAUGUACGAAAGCGUGGGGAGCAAACGGGAUUAGAUACCCCGGUAGUCCACGCCGUAAACGAUGUCUACUAGAAGCUGGGGUCUUCGGACAACUUUUUCAAAGCUAACGCAUUAAGUAGACCGCCUGGGGAGUACGGCCGCAAGGUUAAAACU